rfam:Mustela putorius furo unplaced genomic scaffold scaffold00035, whole genome shotgun sequence.
GUCUACGGCCAUACCACCCUGAACGCGCCCGAUCUCGUCUGAUCUCGGAAGCUAAGCAGGGUCAGGGCUGGUUAGUACUUGGAUGGGAGGAAGUAGGAAAGAAGGUGAUCAUUUGAG